GCUGUAUAAUGAUUCCAUGCGUGUCAGCUGACUCUGUAAACCCUCAUUAUGGCGUUGCUCUAGCUGGUGUUCUGCUAGCUUCAGUGCUCAGUGCAGCAUGGGUCCAGAGAUAGUCACUACUAGACUACAUUCCUGU